GACGAACGCUGGCGGCGUGCUUAACACAUGCAAGUCGAACGGAAAGGCCUGCUUUCCCUUGUGGAUUGCGGGUACUCGAGUGGCGAACGGGUGAGUAACACGUGAGUGAUCUGCCCCCAACUUGGGUAUAAGCCUGGGAAACUGGGUCUAAUUCCCGAUAGGACUGCAGGGUGGUGCCUGUGGUGGAAAACGAUUUUCUAGUGGUUGGGGAUGAGCUCGCGGCCUAUCGGCUUGUUGGUGGGGUAAUGGCCUACCAAGGCGGCGACGGGUAGCCGGCCUGAGAGGGUGGACGGCCGCAUUGGGACUGAGAUACGGCCCAGACUCCUACGGGAGGCAGCAGUGGGGAAUAUUGCACAAUGGGCGGAAGCCUGAUGCAGCGACGCCGCGUGGGGGAUGACGGCCUUCGGGUUGUAAACUCCUUUCGACUGCGAGGAAGCCACCUGGUUGGAAGGGUGGUGACGGUAGUGGUAGAAGAAGCACCGGCUAACUACGUG
rnacentral:rRNA from 1 species